rnacentral:lncRNA from 1 species
CAUAAUACAUAAAAUGGACAAUUAAAGCUCUGCUCAUAAUAACAUUAAUAUAGUUACCUCCUUCAAAACACAAAUAGAAAUGAUUGCUCGUGCCAACUUACAAUUUGAAUGGAUGAAAAAGACCCUACAAAAAUCUCAUAUGUUAUUUUUUCACAGAUCUCUAAAAUCAUUUUUUACUAAUCUCCUUGUCUAACAAGGACAAACUCGGGAUCUGGAAAAGGUAGUCUAUAUGCUGACCUUACCCCUACCUAAUGCAGGUAGAGAGGUUGUUUCCAAUAGACACUAAUCUCCUUGUGUAAAAGAUCAUAUUAGGAAAUGCAGUCCAAUAAAGACGUCGUUCUUACAAAUCAGAGCCAUAUCGUGAGAAUAAUUCUGGCUAGCUUGCAACAUUUGAAACUCAACCAAUCAAGAAGGAUAAUAAAAUUAAAAUCAACUGAUAGCAAAGAUGUAAACAAACUAAAAUAUCCUGAUAUGCCAAAUAACAGCAACUCUUCAAAACCUUUGAACUCUAGGAGUAUUAAAUGUUGGUCUACAAAAUGCAUAAAAAACAUAAACUCGCCAAGGGAAAAACUGAUCCAAAGUGGAUAUCAACUUACUGAAUGUUUGAGGAUUUGUUAGGGAUAACACCUUCAUAUUUGACUUGGAACCACUUCAUAGCGUCAUCCUUGAAAACAUAAACUUGCUGGGGGACAAACUGAUCCACAAUCAACUUACUGAAUGUUUGAGGAUUUGUUAAGGAUAACACCUUCAUAUUUGACUUGGAACCACUUCAUAGCGUCAUCCUUUGUGACCCUGUGCUGAAUUCCAACUCGGGCCUUGCACCUCCUACGACGAGCAACACGGUAUCCUGGGCGCUCGAGCACAACAUAGAAAUCCAUACCAUAGAUACCGGUUGAAGGGUCAUACCUAUAGAACAGAAAUUAGUUAAGGCACAACAAUUUGACAGACAUAAAUACAGAGCAGUAGAUGGGAGGCAAUCCUAUGCUGAUAGUCACCUCUAUAUUAUAAAACUGAAAACUAAGCAUGUUGAAUGUGAAAAUAAUCGAAAUAGCAUGAUAUAGCUAGAUAACAUAUGCUUACUUGAUUCCAAGAUCAAUGUGCUCCUGAAUGCCAAAACCAAAGCAGCCAGUCUCACUGAAGUUUCUUCUCAACAACUCGUAUUCCUUGACUUUCAAUCCACUCUCAAGGAGCUGCAUAGCUUUGUCUCCUCUGACAGUGACAUAGCAAGCAAUCUUCUCAUUACGGCAAAUUCCGAAGGACCGCACAGUAUACCUAGCUGUCAAAGAGAGCAAUACAACCAUCAGAGGGAACUAAACAUCGUCAACAAAAAAUGAGGGAUGAAUAAUUGAUCACUUAAAGUCAAUAAAGAAUUUAUUAAUCUCAUUACAAAUGUUUCAAUGUAUAAACACCAAUUGUAAUGUGUGAACGAGCAGAUAUCAAUUUCUUUAUCAUUGCAUAUUCAGAGUUAAAUGAAUUCUUGCAUAUCUAGCUCAACAAAAACAUAACUAAAGUAGUAUACAACCAUUUCUUAUCGGUUGGUUCUCACUUAAGAGAUUCAAACACUGCUGCUGCUGGUUUCACCCCACUACCACCAACAACAACUACUACUACUACCCAAUCUCAAACUAGUUGAGGAGGGUUACAUGCAUAUAUGAUCCUGCUUUCAGGAUGCAUAUAGGAUACAAUAAAAAAUAGGUUACUCCAUGUGGCCUAACAUUUAAUAUAUCAAUCAGCUACACUUCAAUUCUCAUCAGUUAGGGUUGACUAAAAUAAUCCUAUUUAUUUCAGCUCUAGCCAGGUCCCACUUCAUUCCAAUACAAUAUAAUACAUGAAAAUUAGAGAUUCCACAUUUAAACAGUACCGAUUAGAAAUUAAUUACACAUUUCAACAAAAUUGUCAUGUCAGUGUUAAUCAAUUAAUUCAUCAACUGAGCACAUCAAAGAUUAACUCAUACAUUUGACAGACACAGAAUUAGAGAAGAACAACUGACUGCAUUUGGACAAAGGUAGCUAAAUAUCCGAAAAUAGAGAAAAAAGAAAAAGUGGAAUAAAUUGAGGUUCAAAAACUAACCCUUAGAGAAAACAGGGGAUUGGCCGCUGAGUUGCUCCAAGACCUAUAGGAAAAAGACUGAUGGUUUCAGUUUCACAAUACAACAAUGAAAUCAAGUUCUACACACAGUAUUAAACGCUAUCAGGAAGGAAAAUGAAUGACCUUGGCUGCUCUGGUGAGCCUAUCUCCGCUUUCACCAACAGAGAUGUUAAGGACUAACUUCUGAACCUUGAUUUCCCUCAUUGGGUUGCUCAACUUCUUCUCUGAAGCCUGCUCAUCGGAUCAACGUAUUCACACAAGUCACUUAGAUUUUCAAAAAUUCAAUUCAAAAACACAAAUUAAUGGGUGCAUAUUAGUCCUUUUCUUAAUAACCGAGAAAUCCCCUCGAGACAACGGGCCCACUGCUCUACGCUUCUCCACUUAAAUAUCGGGCAUUUUGUUUUACUCACACAUAACGAACUGCGCUCUUACUGCUAGACCAAAGCCCUAGAGAGGGUGCAUUUUAGUCAUUUAAAUUUGCAGAAAAUUGCUUCUUACUUCUUAAACACAAAAAAUUAGAAGAUCCGCUUUUAAUUCUACAACUUAUAUCGAACUACUCAUUGAUUAACAACAGAUUAAUAACUUGUAAAAAUGAUUAUGAACAAAGAUAAAAAAGUUGUAGUUUAAUAUGAAAAUUACAAGCAUUAUAAUCCACUACUAUAUUUUGUGGGAAAAAUAUUGAGAAAAUACAUGGAAACGUACCAUUUCGAUUCGGUCUGAGGAGCGUGGCCGCAAAAGGAGAUGGAGAGAAGCAAAGCGACGGAGGAGGAGGGUUUUGCCAAGAAUUUAAAGCAGAUAGCGAAAUUCAGAUUUGGGCUCAUUUGUUUGGUUUAGUUCUAUUUAGCCCGUUAAAUUUGGGCUUGGGCCAAGGAUCUUUUUGAAUUGGGCUCAUCUUGCCUAUAUUAAACAAAUAACUGACUAGAUUUAUGUUUCACUUUUUUUAAUCGGUAUAUAUAGAUUAUAUAUUAAUUAUAUAUAUAUUUAUAUAUUUGACAGCUAUUUUAAUUUAAAAUUUUAAAUGAGAGGCUAUUUGGAUUUAUGGCAGAAGUUACUACUGAAAUGUUGGUUUUUCGACAAAUGUUAAUACUCGCUCCCUCUCAUUUUAUGUGAUUAUGAUCGACAGAACAUAGAAUGUAAAAAAAUAAAAAAAAUAUUUUAACAUGUAAGCUAAAUAUAUGCAUUAUACUAAAAUUAUCCUUAUGAUUCGUGGUGAAAGUUUCAUGUCUUUUCAUAUAGAUGAGUAGUGGUGAGGGUCCAAGACCCCAAAAAAAGUUAUUCGGAGUACAAAAUAUUUUGUGUUCACAAAGAAUUCGGAGAAUGGUCGGACUCUAAGAGGUGUGAUAUAUAUAAUCUAAUGUAUGGCUAUCCAAGGAGAAGGCACGGGAAAGGACGAUGCGACAUUUAGGCGGGACGGGACGAAACGGUCGGCUCAUCCCGUCCCGCUAACAAAUGGGACGGGACGGUUUCGCAGGUCUUAAGAGCAGUUUUAAAAAACGUUUAGUUUUUUAACAAUGACUAAAUUUUUAAAGUUUGCAACGGCUAGUUUUCGACUUAUUUAAUAAACUUAAAUGUUAAAACGAAAAUUAGAAAACUAAGUAAAGAAUUAUAAAAUAUUAAAACAAAAGACUUGUAAUGAGAUAUUCUAGUAAUUAUAAUAGAGUUAUAAUUUAUUUAAUAUAAUUUUAAAGUAUCAAGUAACUAAUACAAUUCAUAAAAAAAAUCAACACUUAGAGCCUUUUAUUUUAUUAAUAGAACUUUCAAAUUUCACGCACAAAUAUAAUUUUUAAGAGCACCUAAUCUAUGCAGCUACCUUUUAGGAGGGGUUCUGUUUGAACUAGGCCUCUUAGUAGCCAAUUAUAAAUUAUCAUACUAAUAUUUGUUAGCUCAUAUAUAGCUUAUUUAUAACUUAUCAAUAAUUUAUCUCGGACAUUGUUCUGGAAUUGGCAAUGUUGAUUGAUGUUCCAUGACGUUAUCACUCCCAGUGCUAAGUAUCUCAUUGUAUUCUUCUUCUUCCUUAGUGGUAAAUUUUUAAAAUCAAGAUUUCUUCUUUCUGAAUUAAUCCAAUCUCUAAAUAAUACCGAAAUCUCUAGAUUGUCCUCUGUUAAUGAAAGCCUAUGAUCUCAAAUUUAAAAUCUUGUUGCACUAAAAGCACUCUCCGAUGUUGCUAUUGAUGUCUGAAUAGCCAGGACUAAAUUAAACACACAAAUAAAAUACGAAAAUAGAACACGUAAAAUAAACACAAAAAUUAAGCACUAAAAUGAUACAGAAUAUUAUAUACUAAAAUUAGGAGAUGGAAUGAGUUCACUAUGAUUAAAUAUUGAAACUUGAAGAAAUUGCCCAAAAUAUUGCUCCAAAUACUUGACGCAUUAAUAUGAAGCUUGAAAGUUGCUCCAAAAAUUUUUACUUCAUAGUGAAAAAAUUGAGAGAAUAAUAUAGAUAGAAUGUAAGAGAUUUGAGAGAGGAUAAUUGAUUUUUAAAAAUGAAGAAGGAUCUGGGGUAUUUAUAGUAGAAAAUAGGGCCAAAGUAUAAUUUAAUAAACUUAAGUGUUAUAUUAAAAGUUUGGGAGGUAGGGGGAGGAUAGAGGCCAUUUAUGAUCGUUUUUUGUCGUUGGAAAUGACUAUUUUUGCAAUUGAAGUCAUUGUCCAACGGCUAAAAUUCAAAAAAAAAUUGCAGGAAGGGGCGGGACAAAAUAAUCAUCUCAUCGUGUGUCCCGUUUAAUAUUGCUCAUCCCUUUUAAAAUGAAGUAGGCGGGGACGGAAUGGGACAGCUCAUCCCGUUGGACAGGCAUAACCUAAUGCAAUCAUUAAUGUGAUGAUGGUCCGUCAACUCAUGUAAUUAAAUAAAAAAACGAGAUGUCGUAGAAUUAAAUAGUUUCACACAGAAUAAAAGUGAUUUUUUUUUGGGGGGGGGCUAAAAAAGAGUAUGCUACAUAAAUUCAAAAAAGAAAAUAAUAGACUAAGACCCGUUUGAAUAAGAUGAUUGUAAAUAAGCUUGAAGUGCUAAAAAGUAUUUUUAAAGUGUUGAAAUUAAUUUUUAAUUAAGCAUUUACAUGUUUGGAAAAUUGAUAGAAAGCAGUUGAUGUGUUUGAUAAAAAAAUAUUAAUAAGCUAUUCUUUUGUUAAAAAUAUUAAUAUAUCAUUAAAAAUUUACAAAAGAUUAUAAAUUAAAAAGGUUCUUUAUAAAGAAAAGCAUGCACAUCAAAUAUGGAAUGUGGAAAAAGCUUGGAAAUUUUAAUUUGGAAAAGUAUUUUCUGAAUUAGAAAAUGUUAUUAAUGUUAAACUAGUAAAAACUUUGGCCAAACUAAAAAUACUUAUAAGCUGAAAAGUCAUAAGUUGAGGGGUGACUAACGUAUUGCUCAUGACUAAUUUAAGCUUAUAAGCACGUUAGAUGUUUAUCGAAUAUGUGAAUAAGUCAAAAAGUGCUUAUAAGUCAGUUUGACCAACUUAUAAGUUUAGCUAAAUGCCUUUUAAGUCAUCGAUGCAUUUUGCUUAAUUAGAACGUCGUGGAAAUGAUGUUUUGAAUUCAAGCUUUUUUUCUUUUUCUUUUCAUGAAAAAUUUAGUUUAUUCACCGAUUUGUAUGUGUCAUACUUGCGCAAAAAUCCAUGGUAAUCUUUUCUCUAAUGUUUAAAUCUUUUCAGAUAUAGUCGAAGGGACUAUUCGUUAUACUAGUUGAAUGGAUACUUUAUUGAGUGCGUGUUACAUAGCAAUUGUGUAGUGAUGGCAUUAUAGUCUUUUACUUGGAGGUCGUUAGUUGGUUAGGAGGGCCAACGGAGUUAGUUAAAGAACUAGUACAAGUAUUUGUUCUAAUUCAUUAUGGAAGAUUACAAUCAAUAAUAUCAAUUCCAACUCUUCUACUCUCUAGCUUAAUUAAUUCAUGCAACUCCAUUCAGGAAUGGUUCUCCAUACCAAUUCCUUAGGUCUGUAUACUAGAUUUCUUCAGUGAGCUCGCUUCAUUGGAAUCAAAGUGGCGAUUUUAGGCGGAACGAUGCUAGAAUCAACAGCGGCGAACACCAAAAAUUGUGAAUUGAGAUGAGAAAUGGAGGAAUUGAGAGAACAAGUUCGGAUGCAGGGCAAUCAACAUGAAUAUGCCUUGAGUGACAUUUAACAAAUGGUAGCAGCUAUGAUGGCUAGUAACAGAGCUCUGGCGACGGUAGAAAAUGAGGGUUUUCACGCUUCGGGUAAUAAUUUUCCCCCCUAAUGGGCGUUUCCAGAGACUCGAUUUCCCUAUGUUCAAUGGGGAAGCCAUUAAUGGGUGGUUGUACAAAGCGGAGCAAUUCUUUAAUUACGAGAAGAUUUCUGAGGAUAAUAAGGUUCAAACAGAAUGCAUUAACAUGGAAGGGAAAGCCUUACGAUGGCACAAAAUAUGUAUAAAAGCUAGAACGGGAAGAUUUUCAAAUUGGGAUGAUUAUGUGAGAGUUGUUCAUCUUAGAUUUGGAGAUGUGGAACAUGCAAAUUCCAUGGCAGAACUAGUUGCCUUUAAAUAGAGGGGAACUGUUCAAAAAUACCUUGAUAAGUUUGAUGAGCUAUUGAAUCUGGUGGAGUUGACAGAAGAACAUUAUGUUAGCAUUUUCUUGGCCAAUUUGAAACCUGAGAUAGAGGUGCAAGUACAUAUGCUGAGUCCAAGAAUACUUAUGAAGGCUUAUAGUCAAGCUAGACUAGUUGAGAAAUCUCUAAAAACACAAUAUGGACAAACUCAAGCCUUGGUGAGGAGUUUAAGAUUUUUACUCCCAAAUCCUACUAAUUUUUGGGGUACCUUUUCUAAAGGUCCAAGUAUGGGAUAAAAUUGUGGAAACAAUAGAAUAGUUAGACAUAAUAGUCCUAACAAAGCAGGCAACAAACCUACAAUUCAAGGAUCUAGGAGGUUGUUAGCAGCAGAGAUGAAUGUAAAAAGGGCUCAGGAUAUUUGUCAUUGGUGUGAUGAAAAAUACAUUCCGAACCAUCUAUGCAAUCAAAUGAAAUAAUUAUUUAUCUUGGAUAUGGAUGAAAAUGUAGAAGAAGGCAUAUGGGAAGAAGAGAUAGGUGAAGAGCAGAACUCUGAAGAAUUAAAUUCUCAAGUAUCUAUUCAUACAAUAAAUGGUACAAGUGAUUAUUCAAUAAUGAGAGUAAAAGGGGAUGUCAAAGGAAGAGUGGUACAUGUCUUAAUUGAUUCAGGAGUGACCCACAAUUUUAUGAAUUUAAUAGUAGCCAAGAGGUUAGGGUGUAAAUUGAUGAGCAUUCCCUCAUUUAUGGUAUAAGUAGCUGAUGGUAAUAAGGUUCAUAGUUCAAUGAUGACCCAAGGAGAAACUUGGAAAAUGCAGGGGAUAAAUUUCAAGUCUGACAUGUUGGUUAUUCCGUUAGGAGGGGUUGAUAUGGUGUUGGGGAUAAAAUGGCUUAUUACUCUGGGAGAUAUAAGGUGGAACUUCAAACUACUAAAAAUGGAGUUCCAAAUGGUUAGAACUUCAAACUUCAUAUAGCUGAUCCGAUAGUGUAAAAUCUUCUAUAUUAUUAGUGACAGAUCUAUGUUGUAAGUUAUAAAUACUCAAGCACCUAUUACUUUUGGUGCCAAACACUGUUACUUAUAACGAAAAACUGAUAAUUUAUCCAAAUAUAUUAACUAAGCACUCGGGUUUCGCAGUAACUUUUUAGAUUAAAACUAGUUGAGCACUCAUGAUUUAAAAAUUUUGGAUUUAACAUUUUAUAUUAUCGAUGUAUAGAAGUUAAAUUCAUACAAAUAUUGAAUUAUACAAACUUUAUCCUAUUUCCUUUUUUGCAACUUUUUCUCUUCUUAUUUUUUUUUUAAGUUGUGCCAUAGAGGGGUAGGGGUAGGAAGCAAGAAAAAGAAGGUGCAAAAAGGGUAAAGGAAGUGGGAAGAGGAGAAGACAAGAAAGUGAAAGAGGGAACCGUUUGGAAUUUAAGUGUGGGAUGUGAGUUGAAGUUAGUGAUGGUAGUAUUGAUGAUGAUAAUAUGUGCAAUUUUUUCUUUUUCUCUUUUUGUGAUAUUUAUCUUUAUUCACUAUUUUAUAGGACCAAAUCAAGUACUCAAUAAUAGUUAACUAUGCUUUCAUUUGUGACUUAUUGGCUCUAACUCUUUCUCUAUAUUAAAAGUUUUAAUACUAAAUAAGCAUGAAUAAUUAAUUUUGAAUUCAAUUCCUAGUCAACAAAGAUGGUUGGCGAAAUUUACGGGCAAUGAUUAUUCCAUCUUGUACAAAAAAAGGAAAGGAAAAUAUUGCGGCUGAUGCAUUGUCCAGAUGUCCUGUACCUGGAUCUUAUGUCCAACUGCAGACCAUCACUACAUCACUUCAGACUUUCUUCAAAAGGUUCAACUCAUAUACAUGAGACUCACAAUUGCAAAAAUUUGUAGAUCAACUGCAAGUAGACGUUUUUUCCAAUCCACUUAACAUGUUGCAUGCUGGUAUCCUUCACAGAAGAGAGAAGAUAAUGGUUGGCCAUGAUUCAAAUCUUAGGAAGGAUAUUCUACAUAUGUUUCAUGAUUCAGCUAUGGGUGGACAUUCUGGGAUGGUUGCUACCAUUUUCAAGGUCAGUCAGGUGUAUUAUUGGACCAAGCUGAAACAAGAUGUACACAACUACAUUAGGGAUUGUGAAGUCUAUCAAAAAUGUAAGGGAGAGAAUGUCAGCUACCCUAGGCUUCUACAACCUCUCCGUGGCAGGAUAUUAGCUUAGACUUCAUUAAAGGACUACCCAGUCUCAUAACAAGCGUGUUAUAUUGGUGGUGGUGGAUCGAUUGAGCAAAUAUGAUCACUUCAUUGGGUUGACAUACCCAUACACUACAUUCACGAUUGCUCAAGCAUUCUUGGACAAUGUUUAUAAACUUCAUGGAUUACCUCAAACAUUAGUAAGUGAUAGAGGUACCAUCUAUCUCAGUAAGUUCUGGCAAGCACUAUUUGAAGUUCAAGGAGUUCAAUUACAUCACUCUACUGCUUAUCACCCUCAGUUCGAUGGACAAAUAGAGAUUGUGAAUAAAUGUUUGGAAGGUUAUCUAAGGUGCAUGUGCAAUGAUAGACCUAAAGAAUGGGCACACUGGCUACCUCUUGCUGAAUGGUGGUACAAUACAAUCUACAACACUGCCAUCAAAAUGACCCCUUGUGAAGUGUUGUAUGGUCAAACUUCACCAACUCACCUUCCUUAUGUAGCUCACAGUUCAAUGGUGGAUCAGGUGGACAGGAUUUUGGAAGCUAGAAAGGCUACUGUACGAUUGUUAAAACAUCAUCUACACCUGGCUCAAUGUCAAAUGAAGGCACAGGCAGACAAGAAACGAACUUCCAGAAGCUUUGAUGUUGGUGAAUAGGUUUUUGUAAAGCUCCAUCCCUACAGGCAGAUCUCUUUAAAAGGACACUCUUACCAUAAACUUAGCCCCAAGUCUUUUGGCCCAUUCAGAAUUUUGAAUAAAGUAGGAACAACUGCUUACCUGUUGGAUCUUCCCCUUCAAGUUAAACUCCAUCACACUUUCCAUGUGUCACAACCGAAGAAACAUGUCGGCAUUGUUGUUCUAUCCCCAACCUACAUGUUUCCCUUUCCCCCCAUGGUCAUAUUAUUUUGGAGCCUGAAGUUUUGUUAGAAAAUAGGGUAGUCACGAAGCAACGCAAUUCAAUCCCUCAAGUCUUGGUAUGAUGGUUUAACUGUCCUGUAGAAGACAGCACAUGGAUGGACACUCAUUCCUUGCAUCCGCAAUUUCCAUCCUUCUGUCUUUGGGACUAUACUGGGUAGUUGUUGUUGUUGUUGUGUCUUUGAGGACAAGGACAUUCUCUAAGAAGGGGAACGUGUUACAUAGGGCAUUAUAGUCUUUAGUAAUUUUAUAGUGCGGCCAUUAUAGUCUUUUACUUGGAGGUCGUUAGUCAGUUAGGAGGGCCAGCAGAGUUAGUUAGAAAACCAAUACAAAUAUUUGUUAGCUGGGUAGUUUUAGGCAUUCUAAUUCAUUGUGUAAGAUUACCAUCAAUAAUAUCAAUUCCAACUCGUCUACUUUCUAGAUUAAUCAAUUCACGCAACGCUGUUCAGGAAUUGUUCCCCAUCCCAAUUCCUUAGGAUUGCGUACUUGAGUUCUUCAGUGAGCUCGCUUCAGUGCACUCACUUGUCAUCAUAGAAAGAAAUAUUGAGAGCAACUUUAUAUUAGGAAAGAGUCAAAUAAUCCUAGCCGUCAAGGUUUGCACAAAGAAUAGAGAUUUGGUUCUUGGAGAUAGAAGGAGAGCCAUAAUAAAUAUCACAGGUGUUUAUAUCGAAACAACAACAAAUGAUCCUAUAAAGCGGGGUCUUUAGAGAGUGAAGUGUACACAGACCUCAACCUUACCUUGGAAAGGUAGAGAGGUUAUUUUUGAUAGACCCCGAUUCAAGGAAAAAUGAAAAGAAGCAAAAGCAACCAUUUGUAAUAAUAUUACUAUAGCAAGAAAUAAGGUGAUACAAUAAAGUUGUCUCCGUGUGACCUAGGAUUCGAGCAGUGAAAUUAGCCACUGAUACUUGCAUUCAGGCAGGUUGCAUAUAUCACACCCCUUAGGGUACGCCCUUUCUUCGACCAUGCGUGAAUAUCAUAUGCUUCGUGUAUCAGACUAUCCUUCUUUAUUAUAUGAUAGAAUAAUCCAUUGAGCAAUCAUUUGAACUCCCUAGAAAAGAAAGUUUAUAAAACAGAAGACAUGCUUAUUUCAAUAACUGAAAAAUAAAAUUUUAAGGCGCCAGAGAUGAGUUUUGGAUUGGGUGGUUAAAGAAGGGAGAGGUAAAGAUCAUUACAUUAAAGCGCAGAGAUUAAAUAACUUGGAAACAUACCUUUAUAAUGGGGGGACAAUAUGAAAUCUAAACAAAUUACAGUAAAGUACCAAGUUAAAAUUGGAUCCAUCAAGAUAGUAUCAAGUUAAAAGUUGUUUUAUUCAAAUAUUAUAAUUGAAGAUACAUCCUUCCUAUGUUACAUUUACUCUUAAAAAAUAUGGUUGGAUGUUUGUCGGAUUCUCUAAAUUUAGUGUAUUUUUUAAGGAUCUAACAUUAGGUGAGGCAACACUUUUGGAGAGUCCGAGCAACAUAGCUUCCUUUCAUACUUCCUUCCAUGGCGGUCUGUUGUAAUUGAUAAUGGCUAUAUUGAAAAUGUCACGACCCGGAAUUCCCACCUUCGGGAGUCGUAAUGGCUCCUACUCGUGGAAACUAGGCAAGCCAUGAAUCUUUGAAAUCAUUAACCCUUUCGGUUUAAUACUCUUUGCCAAUUAUGUUAACAAGAAAACAAACAGAUAAAUAACAGCGGAAUGUAAUAUUUAGCGGAAUUCUCGGAUAAACAGAAAACCAAAAUGUCUAGAAAAUCAAUACAAGUCUCUACCCAGAACCUGGAGUCACAACUUUCACAGACUACUAUGAAUACUACAUACAUCAGUUUGAAGGAAAAGUGAAGCUAUUUGUCUCGAAUGCAUGAGAUAACAAGAUAUAAAAUAAGAUAGAGGAGACACCGGGCCUAUGAACGUCUACAAGACUACCUCGGUAUCUCGGUGGACUGAAGGUUGGCUCACGAACUAGUGCUGCACGGCAAAUGCUGCUCUGGUAUCUGUACAGGGUGAAGAGUGUAGUAUCAGCACAACCGACCCCAUGUGCUUGUAAGUGUCUGGCCUAACGCGGCGAGGUAGUGACGGGGCUAGAACCAGACUCCAGAUAAACAUGUGCAGUACAAUAUCUACAUCAACGUAAUAAUACUACUGUUGCGACGCGCAACCCAAUCCAUAUAAAGGUAUAUAGUUGUUGCGGCGUGCAACCCGAUCCAAUUUAAUAAUUGUUGCGGCAUGCAGCCCGAUCUAAUGUAAUAGUUGUUGCGUUGUGCAACCCAAUGCAAUAUAAUAAUUGUUGCAUUGUGCAACCCGAUCGAAUAUAAUAUCUAUAGCGGCGUGCAACCCAAUACAAUACAAUAUCUAUUGUGGCGUGCAACCCGAUCCUAUAUAUAUAUAUAUAUAUAUGUGUGUUGCGACGCGGAAUCCAUUCCAAAUAUACAGCUCACAGUAAUCAUAACAAUAGUUCCGGCAAGGGAUUAACGAUAAGUUACACUAUUCCAGCAAGGGAACUCAACAGUACAAGAAUAUACGUCCCGCCAAGAGAGAAUCAGCUAUAAUCAAUCUCAACUUAACUUCUAACCAUCUCUAUUAUCACAAUUUCUAACUCAUAAGUAACUUCCACGAAAAUAAACUAAGCUUUUGCCCAAUAUCACGGAUUUACUCACUAUUGCAACCAUAGUAUCAUUCAAGAAAAAGCAGCAAGUAUCAAUUUAAGACCCACGGUCAUGCUCGACAACAACGUAUAGAUACUCGUCACCAUGACAAUACGUCGUACUCAAUAAGAAACAAGUAGCAAAUAUGAAUCAACUCCUAAUCCCUCAAGCUAAGGUUAGACCGAACACUUACCUCAAACUUCCACGACCAACNNNNNNNNNNNNNNNNNNNNNNNNNNNNNNNNNNNNNNNNNNNNNNNNNNNNNNNNNNNNNNNNNNNNNNNNNNNNNNNNNNNNNNNNNNNNNNNNNNNNNNNNNNNNNNNNNNNNNNNNNNNNNNNNNNNNNNNNNNNNNNNNNNNNNNNNNNNNNNNNNNNNNNNNNNNNNNNNNNNNNNNNNNNNNNNNNNNNNNNNNNNNNNNNNNNNNNNNNNNNNNNNNNNNNNNNNNNNNNNNNNNNNNNNNNNNNNNNNNNNNNNNNNNNNNNNNNNNNNNNNNNNNNNNNNNNNNNNNNNNNNNNNNNNNNNNNNNNNNNNNNNNNNNNNNNNNNNNNNNNNNNNNNNNNNNNNNNNNNNNNNNNUCCAAAUCAAUUGUAUCUAUACAUAAAUGACUUCAUAACAUCAAUAAAUGCUAAACAAUUCGAAUUCAAUGCCUAAUUAUAGCUUUCCAAUCAUUCUUCCAAAAAACUCAAAAAUCGACCCUGGGCGCCCUUGGUCAAAACACGAGGUUCGCACCAAAAUCAAAUCACCUACGAGCCCACGAGCCCAAAUAUAUAAUUAUUUUCAGAAUUCAAUCCCAAAACGAAGUCUAAAUCACAAUUAAUCAAAAAGCCCUAGUUCUAUCCAAACCCCUAAUUUUUUACCUUUAGUUCCAUGUUUUAAGACCUAGAAAUCUAAUGGGUGUUAAUAGAAAAUGAAGAAAAGAAGUCUAAGAUUACAUAUCUAAGAAAUUGUGGUGAAAUCGUCUUUCAAAAAUCACCCAAUUUGGAGUUGAGAAGAAGAAGUUAUGAAAUUUGAACAAUUCUCGUUUAAGCUACUGUUUUAAAUUCGCUGGGCAGACCUUCAUCAUGUUUGCGAUGGGUCUCCCGCAUUUGCCAAGAGUUGCCUUACAUAGGCUUAUAUGAUCGGGAUUUCUCGUAUGCGUUCGCGAAGGGUUGCCCCAUGACCUUCGCGUUCACGGGCCUAUGAACGCAUUCCAUAGAGGAAAAUAUUCAAUUCCAUACCAACCCCCCUUUACACUAUGCGUUCGCGAAACGUGGGCCGCGUUCACGUAGAGUAACCCCCCCCCAGAGUGCUCCGCGUUCGCGAUCCUUCCCUCGCGUUCGUAUUGAACAAAAAUACCCAUGUCCCCAUUUACCUUACGCGAUCGUGAAGAGCAACAUGUCUGAGCACCUGUUGCAGAUUUUCUGCAAUUUCUCCUAAGUUCAAACUUCCCGAAACACUCUCGAGCCCUCAGGGCUCCCAACCAAACACACGUACUAACUCAACAACAUCAUACGAACUUAUCCUUGCGAUCAAGUCGUCAAAAUAACCUCAAAAAUAAUGAAUCAAACCUCAAAAUCAAGUGUUUUUUUCAAACUUCAUCAAGUUUUAAAUUUUGGAAUUCAAGUCUGAAUCAUGCCAAAAUGAUGGUUGAUUUUAACCAGAUUUUACAAAAAGGACUUAAACCAUACAUUAGACUUGUACCAGGCGCCGGAACUAAAAUAUGGGCACAAUACUAUCUCUUUCUAAUCGGAUUUCAUUUCAAAUUUCCUUAAACAUUUUAGAAAACAAUUUAACUCAAAAAUUUAUUUCUCGGGUUGGGACCUCAGAAUUUUAUUUCGGGCGUACGCCCAAGUUCCAUAUAUUCCUACGGACCCUCCGGGAUUGUCAAAUCAUGGGUCUGGGUCAAUUUACCUAAAAUGUUGACUGAAGUUAAAUUUAUUCAUUUUAAAAUCAAAACAUAACAUUUUUCACAUAGUUUUAUAUUUAAGCUUUUUGGCUAUGCAUCCGGGCUGUGCACGUAAAUUGAGACGACUCUAAAUAAGGUUUUUAAGGCAUCGGAGUCAGAGUUUAAUUUAAAACAAAUGAUGACCGUUUGGGUCAUCACAUUCUCUACCUAUAAAAUACAUAUUCCUCCUCAAACAGAUAUAAGAAGGAAGUACGUGAGUCGGGAAAAAGAUGGGGAUAACGGCUCCGCAUAUUGGACUGGGCCUCCUAAGUCGAUGCCUCAGCAGGCUGACCUCUCCACUAAACAUGAAUAGAAGGAAAACUCUUCGACCUCAACUGACAAACCUACCGGUCUAGAAUAGCCACCGGCUCCUCCUCGUAAGAUAAGUUCUUGUCCAACUGGACAAUGCUGAAAUCUAACACGUGGGAUGGAUCGCCGUGAUACCUCCGAAGCAUGGACACAUGAAAUACCAGAUGCAUGGCUGAUAAGCUCGGCGGCAAUGCAAGUCUAUAAGACACCUCUCCCACUUGAUCAAGAAUCUCAAAUGGACCAACGAACCUAGGGCUAAGCUUGCCUUUCUUCCCAAAUCUCAUCACUCCCUUCAAAGGCGACAUUCGGAGCAAUACCCGCUCACCAACCAUAAAAGCCACAUCUCGAACCUUGCGAUCUGCAUAACUCUUUUGCCUGGACUGAGCUGUACGAAACCUAUCCUAAAUGAUCCUGACCUUGUCCAAGGCCUCCUGAGCUAUAUCUGCACCCAACAACCUAGCCUCUCCCACCUUAAACCAUCCAACCAGAGAUCGACACCGCCUACCAUAUAAAGCCUCAUAAGGGGCCAUCUGAUCUCCAGAAGUGUAAGGUAAACUGCGUAUCCUGGUUCGAAAUGAUAGAUACGGGCAUACCAUAAAGGCGAACAAUCUCCCGAAGAUAGAUCUCAGCUAACCUCUCGUAUAAAUAGGAGACUGCCAUAUGAAUGAAAUGCACUGACUUGGUCAGCCUAUCAAUUAUGACCCACACUGUGUCAAACUUCUUCCGAGUCUGCGAAAGCCCAGUAACAAAUUCCACAGCGAUCCACUCCCACUUCCACUCAAGAAACUCGAUCCUCUGAAGUAAACCACCAGGCCUUUGAUGCCCAUACUUAACCUGGCGACAAUUUAAACACUGAGCAACAUAUGCAACAAUAUCCUUCUUCAUUCUACGGCACUAAUAAUGCUGCCGCAAGUCCUGAUACAUCUUCGCGGUGCCCAGAUGAAUAGAGUACUGAGAGCUAUGGGCCUUCUCUAAAAUAAACUCUUGAAGCCCGUCCACAUUGGGCACACAAACUCGACCUUGCAAUCUCAAAACUCCAUCAUCAUCUAAGGUAACCUUCCUAGCACCUCCGCGCUGCAUCGUGUCUCUAAGGAUACAUAAAUGGGGAUCAUCAAACUGCCGAUGACAGAUACGCUCCAAUAGUGAAGAACAAGCGACCGUGCAAGAUAAUACCGAACCAAGCUCAGAAAUAUCCAACCUCCCAAACCGACUGGCAAAAGCUUGAACAUCCAAUGCAAGCAGUCUCUCAUCGACCGGAAUAUAAGAAAGACUGCCCAUCGGACUUUCUACUCAAAGCAUCGACCACCAAAUUGGCUUUUCCCAAGUGAUAUAAGAUAGUGAUAUCAUAAUCCUUCAACAACUCCAACCACCCCCUCUGCCUCAAAUUCAACUCAUUUUGUUUGAAUAAAUACUGAAGACUCUUAUGGUCUGUGAAAACCUCACAUGACAUGCCAUACAGAUAAUGCCUCCAAAUCUUCAAUGCGUGAACAAUGGCCGUCAACUCUAAAUCAUGCAUUGGAUAGUUCUUCUCAUUAAUCUUCAACUUCCUUGAAGCAUAGGCAAUGACCUUUCCAUCCUGCAUCAACACUGCACCAAGCCCAAUACGGGAAGCAUCGCAAUAAACUGCAUAAGGCCCUGAAUCUAUGGGUAAGACCAACACCGGUGCCGUAGUCAGAGCUGUCUUGAGCUUCUAAAAGCCCGCUCACACUUGUCCGAUCAUCUGAACUGGGAACCCUUCUGGGUCAACCUGGUCAUCAGGGAUGGAAUAGAUGAAAACCCCUCCACGAACCGACAAUAGUAGCCUACCAAUUCCAAGAAACUCCAAAUCUCUGUAGCUGAUGCUGGUUUAGGCCAAUUCUUGACUGCCUCAAUCUUCUUCGGAUCAACCUGAAUACCCUCAGUCGAUACAACAUGAACCAGGAAUGCAAUUGAACCCAACCAGAACUCAUACUUCGAGAACUUAGCAUAUAACUGACUAUCCUUCAGAGUGUGAAGAACCACUCUGAGAUGCUGCUCUUGCUCCUCCUCGCUGAGGUAAUAUAUCAAAAUAUCAUCAAUGAAUACUAUCACGAAUGAGUCCAGAUAAGGCCUGAACACUCAGUUCAUCAAACCCAUAAAAGAUGUUGGGGCGUUUGUCAACCUCAAUAACAUAACUAAGAACUCAUAAUGCCCGUACCAAGUGCAGAAUGCUGUCUUAGGGACAUCAGAUAUCCUAAUCCUCAACUGAUGGUAGCUAGAUCUAAAGUCAAUCUUUGAAAAUGCCUUAGCACCUUGAAGUUGAUCAAAUAAAUCAUCAAUCCUCGGCAAUGGAUACUUAUUCUUGAUUGUAACCUUGUUCAAUUGCCAGUAAUCAAUACACAUUCUUAUUGACCCAUCCUUCUUCUUAACAAACAACACUGUCGCACCCCAAGGCAAUACACUAGAUCUAAUGAAACCCUUCUCAAGCAAGUCUUUCAACUGUUCCUUUAACUCUUUCAACUCAGGAGGGGCCAUACGAUAUGGCAGGAUAGAAAUGUUCUGGGUGCCCAGAGCCACAUCAAUGCAAAAGUUAAUAUCCUUGUCGGGCGGCAUACCCAGCAGGUCGAAGGGAAGACCUCAGGAUACUCACGAACAACAGGCACAAAAUUAAUAGAAGAGACCUCAGCAGUAGGAUCACGAACAUAUGCCAAAUAGGCCAAACAUCCCUUCUCGACCAUACGCUAAGCCUUCACAUACGAGAUAACACUGCGGGUAGAAAUACUAGGAGUCUCUCUCCACUCAAAAUGAGGCAUACCCGGUAUGUUAAGGUCAGAGUCUUAGCAUGACUGUCCAAGAUAGCAUGGUAAGGUGAUAACCGGUCGAUCCUAAUAUAACAUUGAAAUCGACCAUGUCCACAAGCAACAAAUCCACACGAGUCUCCAAACCCUUAAUCAUAACUAAACAAGAAUGAUGGACUCAAUCUACCAUGAUAGAAUCACCCACCUGUGUAGACACAUAAACAAGAUCACCUAAUGAAUCACUAGGCAUGACCAAAUGCGGGGCAAAAUAAGAUGACACAUAUGAGUAUGUAGACUACGGAUCAAAUAAAACUGAAGCACCUCUAUUAUAAACCAGAAUAGUACCUAUGAUCACCGCAUCUAAAGCCUCGACCUCGGUCCUGGGUGGAAGUGCAUAACAUCGGGGCUAGGCCCUACCACUCGGAGCUACAUCUCUGGGAUGCCCUGCAGCUAGCUGGCCUCUACCUCUAACGGUCUAAGCUCCACCUCUAAAUCCUUUAGCUUCACCUCUAGAAUCUCUACCCCCACAUCUAGCUGGCUGGGCGUUCUGUGGAACAUCUGGUGCCUGAAUCAUAGCUCGGGAACCCUGUUGCUGUGACCAAGUGCUCACUAACCUCGGACAAGCCCUUCAAAUAAGACCAUACUUACCACACUGAUAAAAUCCACCCGAAUGUUGUGGUUGAGGAACUGAGACUGACCUUGGCGACUUGAAUGACCACCCCAAAAACUCUGGAGUGGCGGUGCACUGGUAGGAGUUGGUAGCGCACUGUAGGGCUGCUGAUCAAAAUACUGCAUGGGAGAACUACGGCCACCUGAAGCACCGUGAGAAACUUGGAGAGCUAACUAAAAGGGCUUAGGAGGAUGACCCCUAUCAUACAAAUCUCUGCCUCCAGACGAAGCGCCACUAAAUCUGUCUGACUGACGGGGUUUCUUGUCUGUCCUAUGACCACCCCUUGUGAUAAUACCAUCUCAACUCUCCGGGCCACAUUGGCCGCCUCCUGGAAGGAUAUCUCACUCCCAGCCUCUCUGGCCAUCUAAAGAUGAAUCGGUUGGAUGAGUCCAUCAAUAAACCUCCUAUCUCUCUCUCUCUCUCUCUGUAGGAAGUAUGACAAAAUCAUGGCAAGCUAAGUCGAUAAACAUGGUCUCAUACUGGGUAACCGUCAUGGAACCCUGGUGGAGGUGCUCAAACUGUCUCAGAUAAGCCUCUCUGUGAGUAAUGGGGAGAAACUUCUCCAGAAAUAACACUGUAAACUGCUCCCAAGUCAAAGAUGGCGACCCGGUUGUCCUAGCUAAGCAAUAAUCCCUCCACCAAGUCUUGGCGGAUCUAGACAGGCAAAAUGUAGAAAAAUCAACCAUAUUGGUCUCAACAAUUCCCCUGUUCCUGAGAACCUCGUGGUAGCUAUCUAGAUAAUCCUGGGGAUCCUUAAUAGAUGCACCACUAAAAGUAGAAGUAAAGAGCUUGGUGAACAUAUCCAGCCUCCGCAAAGCAUCAGCAGACAUGGCUGUUCUAUCCCCAGUCUGAGCUAAUACCUCGGUUGAACUGCUCCAACUGGCUGAACUGUUGGAGUUUGAUACCUGCUCCGGAGUGUGAGUGGCAGGAGUCUAAGCCCCUCUUCUAUCCUGAGAGAUAACUGGUGCUAUGAGAAGCAAACCUGCUGUGGUGACACUCUCCAUGAGGCCCACCAAUCAGACUAAAGCAUUAAACACCUUCGGGACCUGAGUUGGGCCCAUCAUAACUGUUGGGGUCGGAUCCUUCUCGUCAAAAUCAACCUGAGGCUCCGCCACUGGUGGUACUGCUCGAGGCUGAGCCCUGCCCUACCUCGGCCUCUAGCACGGCUUCGGCCUCUGCCUCUCAUGGGAGCUGCUAUUGGGGGCUGGGCUGCUGAGUGGUAGAUGAGGAAGCACGUGUUCUCGCAAUCUGUGAAAGAACAAAGUAGAAAUUGGAUUAGCAUUUGAGAAAAAAAAACCGCACAAUAAUAAAGAAAAAAUGUGAAGUUUUCCUAACUCUGUAGCCUCUGGGGGAUAAAUACUGACGUCUCCGUACCGAUCCCUCAGACUCCACUAAGCUUUUCUGUGAGUUGUGAAACCUAUGUAACCUAGAAUUCUGAUACCAACUUGUCACGACCCGAAAUUCUCACCAUCGGGAGUCAUGAUGGCGCCUACUAGUGGAAGAUAGGCAAGCCAUGAAUCUUUGAACCAUUAACCCUUUCGUUUUAAAACUCUUUACCAAUUAUGUUAACAAGAAAACAAAAGUUAAAUAACAGCGGAAUGUAAGAUCUAGCGGAAGUCUCAGAUAAAUAGAAAACCAAAAUGUCUAGAAAAUCAAUACAAGUCUCUACAUAGAACCUGGAGUCACAACAUCCACGCACUAGUAUGAAUAUUAAAAUACAUCAAUUUGAAGGAAAAGUAAAGUUGUUUGUCUCGAAUGCAUGAGAUAACAAGAUAUAAAAUAAGAUAGAGGAGACGUCGGGCCUGCGAAUGUCUACAAGGCCACCUCGGUGUCUUUGUGGACUGAAGUCUGGCUCCCAAACCACUACUGCGCGCCAAAUGUUGCUUCGGUACCUACACAGAGUGCAGAGUGUAGUAUGAGCACAACUGACCGCAUGUGCUAGUAAGUGUCUGGCCUAACCCCGACGAGGUAAUGAAGAGGCUAGAACCAGACUCCAAAUAAACUUGUCGAGUUAUAUAAUAUAUAGCAAAAAAAUAAAGAGGUAAUAAGCAGUUAAAUAGGGAAGAGGUACAUGCUUCGCGGAAACAACUCAACCUAGCAGAAGCCAAAUGAAUAUGAAAGAUCAGUACAAUAUCUAUAUCAACGUAAUAAUACUACUGUUGUGGCACUCAACCCGAUCCAUACAUAGGUAUUUAGUUGUUGCGGUGUGCAACCCAAUCCAAUAUAAUAAUUAUUCUAGCGUGCAACUUGAUCCAAUAUAAUAGUUGUUGCAGCGGCAACCCGAUCCAAUAAAAUAAUUAUUGUUGCGUGCAAUCCGACCCAAUAUAAUAUUUGUUGCGGCGUAUAACCCGAUCCAAUAUAAUAUCUUUUGCGCACGUGCAACCCAAUCCAAUGUAAUAUCUGUUGUGGAAAAUCUGACGAGGUAUGGCCGGCACUCAGUGCCAUACUUGGCCUGAGCGUACCACUCUAUAACUAAGAACUCUGGAGGGGUAACCCUCAACUUAGGCUAAUAAGACCAUAUUUUGAAUCAUAUGAAAAUAUCGACUCUCUUUUCUGAGGGGUAAGCAUACCCAAAAGCUCAUAUAUAUAUAUACAAACUAUGCAGGACUCGUCUACAAGCCUCUUGAGAUAACUCAACUGUACCAUGGUCGGGAUAGGUCCUCAAUUGUCACGAUAUACAAACUAUACAGGACUCGUCUACAAGCCUCUAGAGAUAACUGAACUAUUCCAUGGUCGGGACAAGGCCUCGACCUACCCAUCAAAUUUUUUAUAAAAAAUGGACUCCAAAGUGUAGACCUGGUAACUCCGAGGAAGUGGAGCUUACCAAUAAAGCUGGGGCUUGACUCUGUCUGCUGGGAGGGUCUGUCCAACUGUCAAUGAGGACCUGCAAUAUAUAUAUGUUAACAAAAAUGUUGCGGCGUGAAACCCAUUUCAAAUAUACAGCUCACAGUAAUCAUAACAAUAGUCCCGGUAAGGGAUUAACCAUAAGUUACACUAUUCCAGCAAGGGAACACAACAGUACAAGAAUAUCCGUCCCCGCAAGGGAGAAUCAGCUAUAACCAAUCUCAACUCAACUUCCAAUCAUCUAUAGUAUCACCAUUUCUAACUCAUAAGUAACUUCCACGAAAAUAAACUAAGCCUUUUUCCCAAUAUCACGGAUUUACUCACUAUUGCAACCAUAGUAUCAUUUAAGAAAAAGUAACAAGUAUCAAAUUUAAGACCCACUGUCAUGCUCGACAUCAACGUACAUAUACUUUUCACCAUGCCUAUACGUCGUACUCAACAAGAAACAAGUAGCAAAUAUGACUCAACUCCUAAUCCCUCAGGCUAAGGUUAGACCGAAAAUUUACCUCAAACUUUCACAACCAACUCAAUCUUUAAUUACCUCCUUUCCUUUCGAAUUGGACUCCAAAUCAAUUUUAUUUAUACAUAAUUGACUUCAUAACAUCAAUAAAUGCUAAACAAUUCAAAUUAAAUGCCUAAUUAUAGCUUGCCAAUUAUUCUUCUCCAAAACCCAAAAAUUGAUCCCGAGCCUGCUUGGUCAAAACAUGAGAUUCGGACCAAAAUCAAAUCACACAUUCACCCACGAGCCCAAAUGUAUAAUUAUUUCAAAAAUUCGAUCACAAACCGAGGUCUAAAUCACAAUUAAUCAAAAAGCCUUAUUUCUACCCAAACCCUUAAUUUUCUACCUUUAAUUCCAUAUUUUAAGACCUAGAAAUCUAUUGGGUGUUAAUGGAAAAUGAAGAAAACAAGUCUCAGAUUACAUAUCUAAGAAUUUGUGGUGAAAUCCUAUUUCAAAAUUUCCCAAUUUGGAGUUGAGAUGAAAAAGUUAUGAAAAUUUGAACAAUUUUCGUUUAAGCUACUAUUUUAAAAUCGCAGGGCAAACAUUUGUCACACCUCCUUUUGGCUAGUACAGCCCAGCGAAGGGCGUAGAUAAGGGAGUUUUUCCAAUUAAAUGACAAUCGACACGGGAUUCAAUUAUUUAAGGGAAUUUUAGAGUCGCCACUUGGGAGAUUUAUGAUGUCCCAAGUCACCAUUUAGAAUCCCAAAUCGAGGAAAGAAUGACUCUGUUUAACAGUCCGCGAACCAGAAAUCCGAGUAAGGAAUUCUGUUAAACCGGAAGAAGGUAUUAGGCAUUUACGGAUUCUGUGGUUCUAGCACAGUCGCUCAACUGUUAUAUUUGGCUCCAAUUAUCUAAUUUUAUGCAAUUAUGAACCUAUGUGCAUUUGAAUCUUUUACCACUUUUAUUAUUAUUUUUAAAGAAAAUUGCAAUGUCGUUAAAACAUGUCUCGAACAACGUCACAUAUAUGCUCUCGUGGAUUUUGACACUUUUCAACUUCGUUGAGAUUCGGAUUUGGGUCACAUAAAUAUGCACCCGAAUUUAGGAAAGUAAUAUUAUCAAGCACGCGCCUAGAGCAGCUACGCAUUAUUAACUGUGCGAGAGGCCGUGAAAAUUCACUAAACGAUAUUUUCCGGAGUUCUAAGAACAGGCAUAGUUAAAGAGGGCCACACAUUUGUGAUUUAUUUGGCGUGGUGCAUCUCGAGUCUAUUUCAUAGGAUACUUAGACUAAAUGCUCAAAGUGCCAUAACUAUUUGUUAUCUAUUACGGCUCACCUCCAGAUUACUUCAAGAAGCUAACUAAUUAAGAUUGAACAUGAAAGAGACCUUAAGUAAUUGACUGAAAUCUCACACGGGGGAGGGAUUGAUUCUCCAGUUAGGCUCAUGAAUAGGCCCAAAUUCAUGAGGGCAUGCCAAACAGUCCUCACAAAAGGCUCACAUGUGAAAAUAACUGGGCUCCCAAAUGAAGCCCAACUCGGUAGUGUGAUUGUGGUUGGCAUCAUCGUAAUCGGGCCAAAUGACAGCCCAAAGCAUAAACAUUAAAUAUAUUUGAAGUAAAUCGCACCAUUUAGAAGAAAACAUACAACUGGAAUUCAAAUGCAAAGCAGAUUUAAGGCGAAUAUGGAUUCAUUUAAAUCAUUUAACACCGUAGCUUCCCUAAUGGUACAUUCAACACAUGAAAUUCGAAAUUACGACCAACAUUCAGUUAUUGCAAUGCCAAGGAUCAAACCACAACUAUAAUAAGACUAAACUUAAUAAAACAAAGGUGACUCAAAUGGAAUAGAAUACACACAACCUAGAUCUAACACUACUAUGCCAUCUAAUUAGUCGUAUCAAAAGAGAAAUUAUUACAUGACUAACACAAUCAAACCAGCCACAACCUACUUUGGAAAUUACAUGAAUUUAAACUUCAAGAACUAUAGAAUAAAAUAAAAUAAUAGCAGAAUAGGUGAUGUCCACAAGUAACAAUGCAUCCAUUUGCUCCUCAAGUCAUUACUUCAAUUUACAUGCUUAAAUGGACUCUAAGAACUGGAAUAUACAUGGAAAUAGUAAAAGAAAGCAGAGAAAUGAGGAAUCAAUAGAAGAGCAGCAACAUGAGAAAUAUCCAACAGCAAAACCAACCCAGGAAUGGUCGAAGGACACCACUUUAAACAAUUUCUAAUUCACCCAAUGCCACUCAAAGUACAGAAUCAGAUUUCAACCAAAAUGAUCCCAAAACUUGGAUAUCACCCAUAUUUCAGCUCAUUUUAACUAUCAAUUGUUUAAAAUUUUGUUAUGGAGUGAAUUCCACAAGAAUUCUCGGAGAUCAUUCAAUGAAACAGUAAUAUUUUCUUUAACUCUCUAAAUAGCAGCUUUUGUUUCUAGGUUUUUCAGCCUCUGAAAAAAACUUGUCCAUCCAGGCAUUUGGGUGCCCUUUAUCUAAAGCCUUUAGGGCAACUCCUUUUUCUUGUUUUACCCCCCUUAGUCCUUAUCCUAUCUUCAGAUUUACUAUCUUAGUCCCUCAUUUUCUAGCUUGCUACCCAAGUUAUAACAAAUAAAAGGUCUGAAUUUCAAUUUGACCCCUAUUCUAGAAGCUUCCAGGGAUUUCCAUUCUAGUGACUACAUGUUUCUCAUGUUGAAUUACUUAUACUACCCCUUACCCUUUUCUAGAAUUACCUAAACGACACAAUUACAUAUUCAGCUUCCUUCACUCUAGUCAAACUAACUAUAGUCAAUUAGCUUAUGAACUACAAACUUCCCAGUUGUAACCAAGAUUUAAACUAACUAACCUAGCUAAACAAAUUGAAAUUAAACUCUAAGGCAUCUUAAAUAGAACUAAAAUUAAGCCAAUCAAUAAUAAAAGAACAAAUGAAACUCAUUAUGCAAAAUAAACGAACAAAACUCAAAAAUACAAAGCAGCAGAUAACAUGGAAUCCAAUCAAACCAUUCAAAUUACUAAUAAAUCUAAACUAUAUGGUAAAAAAAAAGAAAUAGAAACUUUAAACGAAACACUAAACUAAUCACAAAGAUCAAAACGGAACAAAAACAACAAAAAAUGAGAAUAAAAAUCACAAAUAAAAAUAGAUAAGGAAGUAAGAACAAAAUACCUCGAACUUUGAUUCAAACUCAAACACUGGCGGAUUUCUUGGCAUUAUUUGGGGUCAAACCGUCCUUAAUCAUGUGUUUUCUAUGAGAAAACACAAGACUAAGGGCUAUUAGAGCCCAAAAUCAAAGAAUCCCUAGACUCAACCAAUUAGGGUUCUGGGUUAAGUGUCGAAUUAGGAUUUGAAAUGAACAGGGAGGAUUCGAGGAUUGAGGGUCAUGGAUUUAAGAUGAGGGGUGUAAGGAGCAUGCAUAGUGUUAAUUUGGUGGAUUUUAGAAAGGGUUGUAUUUUGGCCAGAUUGUUCAAAUAAAAAUCUGAGGAGUUGUGGUAUGAUUCGAGCCCAAAGAGUUACAGGAAUGGGAAGGGAAGGUCAGGGGGUGCAAUGGUGGAAAUAUGGGAGGAUUUGUAAGUAACGCCACUGUGGGCAGUGGAGACGGUAAUCAUACAAUUGCAUAUUCGAGGAGCUUGGUAGAAAUUCGAGAGAAGCCAGGCUGAGAUUUGGAAUUAGGUCAGUGUAGUUCGGGAGUGUUUGGUAGCUGGGACUACCAGGAGAUGUUAUUUCACUACUGCUACUGCUACUGCUAGACCUCCUUAUCACACCUUGUGAAAAAUGAAGAAUCUAAACUAAGCUAUGAACUACGGAUUACAAAAGAACCUAUCUACGUUUUCAAUCUUGCUCUUGAUCCUUGUUGCUUUGCUGCCUUGUAUUUCUUCUUGUGAACUCCUUGUUGCCUUGUUGACUGGUAUUUCUUCUUGUAGAGCUUCUUGUUGCCUUGUUGACUUCUUGUUUUCUCUUCUUUCAUGUUGAAAUUUGAAAAAUAUUCCUUUAUUCUAACAGGUGGGCGCCUGAUUACCAAAACAAAAAAUUUUGAAAAGUGUUCCCUUGUUUUGUAGGUGGGCGCCUGAUUACCAAAACUUGACACUUGAAAAAUAUUCCCUUGUUCUACAGGUGGGCGCAUGAUUAUCAAAACUUGAAUCUUGAAAAGUAUUCCCUUCUUCUACAAGUGGGUGCUUGAUUACCAAAACUUGAAUCUUGAAAAGUAUUCCCUUGUUCUACGGGUGGGCGCCUGAUUACCAAAACUUGAAUCUUGAAAAGUAUUCCCUUGUUCUACAGGUAGGCGCUUGAUUGCCAAAGCUUGAAACUUGAAGUAUUCCUUUGUUCUACAUGUGAGCGCCUGAUUACCAAAACUUGAAUCAUGAAAAGUAUUCCCUUGUUCUACAGGUGGGCGCCUAAUUACCAAAACAUGAAUCUUGAAAAGUAUUCCCUUGUUCUAGAGGUAGGCGCCUGAUUACCAAAACUUGAAUCUUGAAAGUAUUCCCUUGUUCUACAAGUGGGCGCCUGAUUACCAAAACUUGAAUCUUGAAAAGUAUUCCCUUAUUCUACAGGUGGGCUCCUGAUUACCACAACUUGAAUUUUGAAAAAUAUCCCCUGAGACUACUGUUUGUGUACCUGAUCACAACAAAACAAAAAAAAAUAAGAAAUUCUUUUUGCCACAGGUUGGUGCUAGGCGGAUCUGUGAGUGUUAAUCAAAUCUCCUUACCAAAUAUCUCUAGUACUAAGUCCCAUUAUCCAGGAGGGUCCUAAAACUGAUGACAACUUUAUUAUGUUAUGUUUUCACAAAAGGUAUUAUUUUUGGCUCUGUCUUGUUAUAAGUUAUAUUUGCUGGGGAUCUACUGGUGAUUGGUGAUUAAAACUACUUUCCAUUAUCCAGGCGGGUCCUGACAACUCUUAAUUAGAUGAAAAAAUGUAUCUGUUGGAGGUUAAUACUACGUCCCAUUAUCCAGGCGGAUCCUGGUGACUCUUGUUGGGGAAGUAUUUGGGUUUGACCAUGCCACCCCACUUUUGUGUUCUAGGCUAAGUCCCAUUUUUCAGGAGGGUACAACUCUUAGCUGAAUCCUACGUCAACAUGCAAGUCAUUUUAUGCCCUUUACUAUCCAUGAUUACCUCUAACCUUUAAAUGAGUCCCAUUUUCCAGGAGGGUCCUUAGAGUUCUAACUUAAAUGCGAAUUCUAACUUCUGGUUGUUUUUGCUAGUGAUUAUUGUCAAGAAGGGUUUCUGCGACUUUUACUGGGGAAAGUGUUGGUUCUUGCCCAUGUUACCCGCACCUAUUUGCGUUUUAAACGACGUUCCAUCUCAACUUCCAUGCUUCUUUUAACCCUCAAUUGUUUCGACUGAGGUUUGCUAGUUAAUGUUUGUCCUACUGUGCUCUUUACCGGGGAGGAUAUUUAUGACAGGCUAUGUCCCUUUUAAGUUUUAAAUGAGUCCCACUUCCAAGUGAGCAGUGAGAUUUUGAUCAUACCUGCCAUGUGCCUGUCUUCUCCUGCGGAUGGCCCCCCCCUUUUGGGCUCUUUCGAAAUUUUUCUGCCCAUGUGUCAAUCAAAGAGAACUUGUCAGUUUGUAAAAAGGUGGUUAGCUUGCGGCAUUCUUGUUCAAAUUGGCCUCCCCAUUGUUGUGUUCCAUUUUGUUCCCAUUUUCCAUGUUUAUGAUGAGUUUCUUGAGCUGCUCAACUGAUCCAUCAAUCCUUUACGACUUUACUUUUGCUCCCCAUCAUUGUGUUACAUUUCUUACCCUUCUGCCAGAAUCCUUGCACCUUUCUCGAAAUUGCCGGUUCGAUGCAUUACGCUUGGCUGACCCUCUAACCCUUGUGACUUUACUAUGUUCCCAAUCUUUGUGUUUCUUUUUUGAGCCUUUGCUAAAAUUCUUACAUCCUUUCCUGAGAUUACCUGGUCAGUUUACAAUGUUUGGCUGAUCCUUGACCUUUGUGUCUUUACUUUGCUCCCCACCUGUGUUGCAUUUCCUACCUUUUGCCGGAAUUUUUUAUCCUUGUGACCUCUCCCAUCUUUGUGUUGUGCUUCUGACUCUUUUUUGCAAGAAACCUUUCAUUCCUUCUGAGAUUGCCGGUCGGUGUGUUAUGCUUGGCUGACCCCAGAACCUUUGUGAUUUUACUUUGCAGCCCUAUCUCUGUGUGGUGCUCCUUUACUUUUCCAACUCUUGUCUCUUCCAUCAAUUUUAUCAUUGAAGCCCUUGUGAAUCCCCCCCCCCUUUUCUGUUUCUGACUUUGUUAUCUUUGUUACGUUUUUGGGUGUCAUGCGCUUUGUCUCUUUGGGAGCUGAUAAUAGGCUUUGAAAUUUCUCCUGUUUGCUUAAACAAAAUACCUUAGAGACUCGAAAGAAAAAUGAAAUGCAAUGACUUAGAAUUGUAUUUAGGGCAAAGAAUUCCAGGUUCACUGACUAUUGAAAGGAAGAGAGAGGAAACUUAUCUGAGGAAAAGCAACUGGUUUCUCAUGAUCAUGACAUGCACUUCGGCUUAGUCGAACCAGUCUGUUCCGAUGACCGGCCUUGCGUUUCCACGCUUUCGUUUUUAUGACCAUUUCCAACUCGAUUCCUUCAACCAAACCCUAACUUUGUUUGUCUUACGAUAUUCUGGACGGAUCUCCUCCAACUACCCCUUUUUUAUUGUUGCUUCUUCCCUUGCCUUUGCCUCAUGGUGACCGUGAGGGUUUUCACCAAUGAGACUCACUCAUUUUAUUUUUCUCGACUCGCAUCGUCUUACGGUGCCCGUGAGGGUUUUCACAAAUAGGACUCUCUCAUUUUAUUAUUUUCUACAAAAGCUAGAAUGCCGUCCCGAGGUAUGAUCCACUUCUCCUUGCUUGUCCUGUCUUACAGAUUGAUCAGAAGGUCUUUCUUUGGAUUGUAAUGUAGGCUUUGGAUAGGGUUAGAAAGAAAAGGUGUGAAAGACUCAAAAAUCGCUUUUAUGGGUUCACGAUUUACAACUUUCGGAAUCAAAACAAAUGCAAUUUCUUCCCCGGUUUCUUGCUUGGGGAUUUUGGGUUUUAUUUGAAUAUGACCGAGCCUUAAGGCUGCCUACAAAUCCUAAUAAUGAAUCAGGUCAAACGUAGUUCCUACUGAUUCCUUGCGUUCACCGUUGUUUGAUUUCCUUUUCCUCCUCUCCUGCUGCUACUCUUCUUACUUUUUCCUUUUCUUCUAUUUUUCUUUUUCUUUCUUUUCUUUUUUUCCCUUUUCUUUUUCUCUCUUUUCCUUCCCCUUUUUCUUCUUCUUUUUUUCUUUCUCUUCUUCUCCUUUUCUUUUCCUUUCUUUCUUUUUUUUCUUUUUCUUUUCUUCCUUUGCUUUGCCUUACUUUCUCUUUUCAUUAUUGACUGUUCGCUGCCUUUCAUAAUUGCGUUUCUAACUCUCGUUAUUCAUUUGAAAGAGGGGAUAUGAAAAGAAAAAUAGCUGAAGCUCAAAGGGGUUAACAAAGGGUAAAGUAUUUAGAUAGCUGAAUAAAAUGCAUUCAUCAUUCCAAUCUAUAAAACAUGCCAACUAUAAAUAAACGCCAAGUAUAGACAGUAAUCUAAACAAAAUAGAAUCAUACAUAAUAUCUUUUGACGGCAUCUGAAUUGGUAGACAUUUCUACAUAUUUUCUUCCACAUCUAUCAGAUACAAGGCUCCAUUAGACAGCACUCUUGACACGAUGAACGGUUCUUGCCAGUUUGGAGCGAACUUGCCCUUUGACUUAGCCUGGUGAGGGUGGAUGUGUUUCAACACUAAUUGACCCACUUCAAACUUUCUGGGAUGCAUUUUCUUGUUAUAUGCUCUGGCGAUCCUCUGUUGAUACAACUGGCCGUGACACACCGCCGCCAAUAUUUUCUCGUCAAUCAAAAAUGAGUUUUAACCCAUUCUUAACCAUCGAUUCCUACUUCAGCCACAAUCCAAAGGGAGGGGAUUUCAAUUUCAGCCGGGAUUACUGCUUCUGUGCUAUGUACCAACAAUUAUGGAGUUGCCCCUACCGAGGUGCGAACAAUAGUGCAAUAGACUAACAAUGCAAAGGGUAACCUCUCAUGCCACUGCAUGUACCCUUCCACCAUUUUAUGAAAUAUCUUCUUUAUGUUUUUAUUGGCUGCCUCGACUGCUUCGUUUUCCUUGGGGCGGUACGGGGUGGGAUUUCGAUGUGUGAUCUUGAACUGCUGACAUACUUCUCUCAUUAAGUGACUGUUGAGAUUUGCCCCAUUGUCGGUAUGAGAGUCUUGGGGAUUCCGAACCGACAAAUGAUAUUUGCAUGGACAAAGUCGACCACGGCCUUCUUGGUUACUUUCAUGAAGGUUUUGUCUUCAACCCAUUUAAUGAAAUAGUCAAUAGCAACCAGGAUAAAUUUGUGUCCGUUAGAAGCCGCUGGAUCAAUGGGCCCGAUAACGUCCAUGCACCAAGCAAUAAAGUCCAUGGUGAAGACAUUGUAUGCAAUUCAGAUAGCAGGGAGUGAAUUAAAUCUCCAUGCACCUGACAUUGAUGACAUUUGCGCAUGAAGCUGAUACAAUCUCGCUCCAUGGUGAGCCAAUAAUAUCCUACCCGGAGAAUCAUUUUUUCCAAAACAUAUCCGUUCAUGUGUGGCCCGCAUAGGCCAGCAUACACCUCAUUCAUGAUGUUUGUCGCAUGCCUAGCAUCUAUACAUAUCUUAACAAACCGAUAUCCGGCAUUUUUUGUAUAAUAUUCCUCCACUGAAGAAAAACCCACUUGACAGACGACGGAUUGUUUUCUUCUAGUCACUCGCAGCUUGUAUCGGGUACACACCUCCUCUGAUAUAUUCUUUGAUGUCGUGGAACCAAGGCUCACCGUCAAGCUCUUCUUCCACCAUGUUGCAAUAAUCAUGUUGAUCAUGGACCCGGAUAUGUAUCGGGUCAACAUAAGCCUUAUCCGGACAAUGUAACCUUGACGCCAAAGUAGCCAAGGCAUCGAAAACCUCAUUGUGGAUUCUGGGGAUGUGCCUGAACUCUAUUAACCGGAAUCGUUGACAAAGAUCAUUCAAGCAUUGCCAGUAUGGUAUGAGCUUUAAGUCUUUUAUUUCCCAUUCCCCUUGAAUUUGGUGUACCAGAAGGUCUGAGUCUCCCAAGACCAAGACUUCCUAGACACCCAUGUUUGCUGCUAAUCUCAAACCUAAAAUACAUGCCACAUAUUCUGUCAUAUUGUUGGCGUAAUAGAAGCAGAGUUGAGGUGUGACUGGGUAAUGAUGCCCUUCUUUAGAAAUGAGCACUUCUCCUAUCAUGAUGCCUUUCAUGUUGGCAUCCCCAUCGAAGAACAAUUUCCAUCCCGACUUCUCACCCCGUUCCGUUUUGUCAACAUGCAUGACUUCAUCGUCCGGGAAGUAUGCGUUCAAGGGCUCAUACUCUUCAUCUAUCAUAUUCUUAGCUAAAUGAUCUGCCAGUGCCUGUGCUUUCAUGGCAGUUCUAGUCAGUAGAUAAUGUCAAACUCAUUGAGCAAUAUUUGCCAUUUUGCGAGCCUUCCUGUGGGCAUUGGCUUCUGUAAGAUGUACUUCAAUGGGUACAAACGCGAGAUGAGAUAAGUGGUAUAUAAGGACAAGUAAUGCUUUAGUUUCUAGGCUACCCAUGUCAAGGCACAUCAGGUCUUUUCAAGAUGAGUACACUUUACCUCGUAAGCCAUGAACUUCUUGCUGAGGUAGUAUAUAGCCUGCUCUUUUCUCACAGUAACAUCGUGCUAACCCAACACGCAUCCAAAUGAGUUGUCCAAAACUAUCAAAUAUAAAAUCAAGGGCCUUCCUGGUUCUGGCGAGACCAAUACUGAUGGGUUCGACAAAUAUUCCUUUAUCUUAUCAAAAGCCUCUUGGCACUCUCCCGUUCAUUUCAUCGCAGCAUCCUUUUUCAAUAGCUUAAAGAUGGGCCCGCAUAUGGUUGUGAGCUGAGCAAUGAACCGACUGAUGUAAUUCAAUUUUCCCAAUAGACUCAUCACCUCUAUUUUGUUCCUCGGUGGCGAUAAUUCCUAUAUAGCUUUGACUUGAUGGGUCUAGUUCAGCGCCUCGUCGGCUGACUAUGAACCCCAACAACUUCGCCGAGGGGACCCCAAAUAUGCAUUUUGCCGGGUUGAGUUUGAGGUCAUAUCUGCGGAGCCUCUGGAAGAAUUUCCUCAGGUAUUUGACAUUAUCGGAUUGCUUUCUGUACUUCACUAUCACAUCAUCCACAUAGACCUCGAUUUCUUUAAUUGCCCUCAUGUAUGUCGCCCCGGCGUUAUUCAAACCAAAAGACAUGACCCUAUAGCAAUAUGUCCCCCACGGAGUGAUGAAUGUUGUUUUCUUCAUAUCCUCUUCAUCCAUUAGGAUCUGGUGGUAACCUCGUAACAAUCCAUGAACGACCCGAUCUCAUGCUUCGCACAGUUGUCGAUAAGUAUGUUAAUGUUUGGCAUGGGGAAAUUGUCCUUUGGACUUGCUUUGUUGAGUUCACGAUAAUUGACACACACGCUGGUUUUACCAUCCUUUUUUGGUAAGGGCACAACAUUAGCUAACUAGGUGGGAUAUCGUGUAACUCGUAUAAAUUUUGCCUCAAACUGCUUGGUCACUUCCUCUUUGAUUUUCACGCUCACAUCAGUUUUGGACUUUCUCAAUUUUUGUUUGAUGGGAGGGAAGGCUGGGCCGGUGGGCAACUUGUGAACCACCAACUUAGUGCUCAACCUGGCCAUAUCAUUGUAGGACCAUGCAAAGACAUCUUUGUACUCAAGCAGUACUUCAAUUAUUUUUUUCCUGAGUUGUGAUUCCAGAUGGACACUUAUUUUUGUUUCUCUGACAUUAUCGGGCUUCCUAAAUUGACCGCCUCUGUAUCACUCAGGUUUGGUUUGGGUUUCUCUUCAAAUUGGCUCAACUCUUUACUAAUCUCAUCCCAAGACCCUUCCUCAUCGUAUUCCGGCUCAUCCUCAUGCUCUAUUUCCUGAAUUAUUAUUUCCGAACUAGACUGAUUUUUAGGACUGGGCCGAGGAGUCCUUAUGCAUGUCAGAUCACUGGAACCAGCAUAAAAAUAACUGUACAAUCCUCAUGUUCUAUUUUCUGAAUUGUUAUUUCUAAAGUAGACCGAUUUUGAAGACUAGGCCGAGGAGUCAUUAUAAAUGUCAUAUCACUGGAACAAGCAUAAAAAUAACUGUGCAAAAGAGAAAAGAAAGAGAAGUAAAGAAAAAUGGAAGCUAUCAGCAUUGCUGGAAGGGAAAUUGCAUUUCAUUAGAAUCAAAGAUAACAGAGUUUACACAUCCAAACGGAUGGAAAUAAUAACUGAAUUAACAACUCUGAAGCUAAUCCAAACUAGGCUGAAAUAAAAAUCAAAGCCAACUACCACGACUCCCUCCGGAUGGGAAGAGUAGUGGCUUCCCAGUUAUUGACUUUUGCGCAUGCUCCCACAAACUGCACAUCUACCCUGCUCGAUCCUUCUCCAGCCUCGACCAUAUUUACCUCAUUGAAGAGCCUUUCUAACCCCUUAUCCAGAUCCCCAUCCGCGUUGAUCAGCGGACAGGGAAUCCUUGGUACGGAGCAAUUGCUAGUACUGGGCUUGACAAAUGAUUUGGACAACCUCGAGAUGGGCUUUGAGAGAGCCCAACACUUCUGCUUUAGCUUCCUGGCUUGCCUUAUGUCUGCGGUUGUAGGCUUGAACCCUAGACCAAAAGUGUCCAGAUUUUUAGGGAGGGAAACUGGUUGCACAAUGCCUUGUAGAGCAACACUCAACCCCUUGCCGGGCAUGAAACCAUUCUUCAACAUUUAUGAAGCCACCAUGACAGACGCAGCUGCUAUCUUUGGAGUCAUGACAACCACACCUUCUGGGAUCUUCUCAACGGACAUCGUAUCAAAUACCUGGCAGACCCAGGGCCCUUUGCUGUCUUCGGAUUCAAUAAAAGGUAUAAUAGCAUCACCCGAAACAUACUGAUUAUCUUCACCGUGCACCACAAUCUCUUGCCUAUCCAAUUCAAAUUUGACCAUCUGGUGCAAAGUAGAUGGCAAUGCCUUAGCUGCGUGAAUCCAUGGCCUGCCCAACAAUAGGUUAUAAGAGACUACCACGUCCAGCACUUGAAAUUCCAUGGUGAACUCAAGGGGCCCUAUUGUCACUUCUAGCACUAUGUCCCCUACUGAGUCUUUACCUCCGCCAUCGAAACCUCGAACACAAAUGUUAUUCUUCUGGACCCUUUCAUUUUCUACAUUCAGCUUGGACAAUGUGGAGAGUGGGAAAAUAUUUGCACUGGACCCGUUGUCGACCAGAACCUGGGUGACCACAACAUCUUCACAUUUCACAGGCAGAUAAAGGGCCCGAUUGUGCUCAGUGUCCUCCAUGGGCAGUUCAUCAUCAAAGAAGGUGACACAAUUUACCUCGAAUAUCUUGUUUGCAAUCUUUUCCAAAUGAUUCACUAUUAUCUUGUUAGGGACGUGGGUUCAUUCAAAUCUUCAUCAGCGCCGGGUGGUGUUCAUCUGAAUGGAUUAGUAAGGAUAGUAAGGAUAUCUGAGCUGGUGUCUUCCUCAACUGCUCUAUGAUGGAGUAGUCUUGCAUUUUCAUUUUCUUCAAGAAUUCUUCUGCCUCUUCUUUCGAUACAGCUUUCUUUACUGAUUCUGGGUUAUCCUUAGAGAUCCUGCUUUUCCUCAACUCUUCAGGGGCGAAGUAUCUCCCUGACAGAGUUAAACCCCAGGCCUCACAAACUUCUUCCCUAACUUCAUUUCCUUUAUACAUCACUAUUGCUUAUUCGUACCUCCAAGGAACGACUUUGUUGUUGACGAUUGGCGGCUGGAUUACUGGUUUUACUAUGACAGGCUCUAUGCGAACACCUUCCACAACCACGACAUGUUCUCUAACUGUCCAGUGUACUAUUACUUUUGCGGGUUCCUGUUUUGGUGCAACCGUGCAUGAUGAGCUCCCUUGAACUAUGACAGGUUUGUUGCUUCUCCCUUUUGCCUCGAUCACCGACUUCUCGCUGCUCACAUUCUCAGUUGGCUUAACUUCACUGGAUUUGAUCAUCAUUAUUGUCUAUAAGGGCCUUUUGGACUCUCCCCCUUUCUCCACGAUCUCAAUCAUAUUGGUCUCCUGAUGGGCCAGCAACGGGUUUUGGUUAAUAUUGGAUGCCUCUGGGGUCUGCACUUCAAUCUGGUGGGAGUCAAUAAGUUCCUGGAUGGCAUUCUUUAAAUGCCAACACUUUUCAGUAUCACGCCCUGGUGCACCGGAACAGUACUCACAACUAACAAAAUAAUCUAGAUUCAUCGGGGAAGGAUUUGGCAAUUUUUCUUUGAUUGUUCUCAACAUAUCCAAUUGUCGCAGCAUGUGGAAUAGAAUAGUGUAAGAUUCUCCCAAUGGAGUGACAGUCUUCAUUUUCUGUACCUUUUCAUUUCUCAAGACUGGAUUGGCUCAGAAGGCGGGUUUCGGGGGUUGUUGGUAGGCUUUUGGAGGUGGAUAUGGGUAGUGAUUUUGUGGAGUUGGGUAGGUAUUGUUGCGGUGAACUCUAUAGAGGGUGUGGGUAUGUUUGGUGGUGAGGACAAGGUUGGGUGUAAUGAGAUGGAGCCCGAGGCUUGAACCAAGUUCCCGACUCCACUGUUGCUACUUCCUCCUUCUUCUUCUUUCCAAAUGUUACCCCAGCUCCGCCCUGGAUGGCCUGAGUUGUUGCCUUGAUUACAGAGUAGCUCAUUAUCUUAUUGGAUUUGAGGCCUUCCUCGACCAUACUUUUCAUCGUAACUAAUUCAUUGAAAGAUUUACCUACUGCUGAUACCAAAUGCCUGAAAUAGGUAUGUUCUAGAGCCUGUAGAAAAUAGUCAACCAUCUCACUCUCCUUCAUGGGAGGAUCAACUCUGGCUGCCUGUUCUCUCCACUGGAAACCAUAUUACCUAAAGCUCUCGUUGUGUUUCUUCUCUAGUUUUUUCAGAGAUAGACGAUCAGGUACAAUUUCGAGAUUAUAUUGAAAGUGACAAGCAAACACUUGUGCCAGGUCAUCCCAAGUAUACCCCUGAUUGUGGUCCUACCGGGUGUACCACUCCAAUGCCGACCCGCACAAACUCUAGCUAAAGUAUGCCACUAGCAAUUUAUAUUUUCCCCCUGCUCCCCUUAUUUUGUUGCAAAGCCCCUUAGAUGCGAGAACAGAUCGCUGUGUCCAUCAUAUAAGUCAAAUUUAGGCAUCUCGAAACUGGGAGGCAACUGCACGUCUGGAAAUAGACAAAAGUCCUUGAACGCCACGUUCACCUGGCCACCUAACCCUGCAUGUCCCUGAAUGAUUGUUCUAAACUUCUCACCUUUCUAAGCACCUCCUCCUUCUCAGGAUUUUUGAUUGGCUUUUCAACUCCCACCGGGAUUUUGAGACGGGGAGCAUAGGAGUAAGGCUCAUGGGCUUUGUAAGCAUGUUCUGGUGGAUAGUAUUGGUGGUCAUAAGCUUGAAGCAAGGGUUCACUUGACGAUCUAUGGAGUGCGGGAGGAGGAGGCGCGACAUAGAUGGGAGCAAUUGGCAGAGGGGGGUGAGGAGCAACUUUGGGUAGUGGAGCUGGUGGUGGUUGAGAGGUCGUACCCUGGUGCUGCGAGUAGAUAGGGAAACUUGAGGGUGGAUCAAUGGUGGACUGGUUAGGAGCUUGGACCAGUGGCGGGAUGAAGGAUGGAUUAACAAGAUAGGUUGGGGGUGGUUGUCCUCUUGCUUAUGCCUGGUACAUCUCAGCCAUUUGGUGCUUUAGUUUGUACAUUUCCCCUUCAUGGAGUUAACAUCCAAUUCCUCCGCUUCUUUCGAGGGGUCAAUAAUGGUGACAUCGGUUUCCUGAUUGGCCAUGACUUGCUUGCUCUUAGACCACGUGUUGUAGGAGUGGGUUGCCAAAAUGGCGCAAGUACUAACCACCUGUCUAGUCUGGAACUACAAAACACCAAAAACUUGUUAAUAGUUAGGUUCUAACACGCAAGCGGCCACAUAUUGGGUGUGAAUGCACCUAAAUAAUGAUUGGUCCCUACAUGCAUCAGUUGCUUGUGUCAUCCCGUCUUUCAUUUUCUUUGUUUGCAUGGCCUCCCUCUUUUGACUUUAUUAUCUCCCUCUCCUAUUUUCUUUUCUUGUUUGUUUCCUUGCAUUUCCUCUGCUUUCCUCUCCUAUUUUUCCUUUCGUUUCUUUUCUUUUUUCCUUUUUCUUUAUUCGGUUAUGGUUGAAUCCUAUGUAGAUUGCCUACGUAUCAUGACCCCGCAUGAAUCUGACCGAGGAUAGUUCUUACCAAAUAAAAUGUGAAGCAUAAAAUAUUUUGGAAUUUUCAAUUUUCAUAAUAAUAAACUCAGUUACAAAGACGCGAAAUAUUGAGCGUAGUUCUGGCAAAUAACAAGUGAAGCAUAAAAUAUUUUGGAAUUUUCCAUUUUCAUAAUAACAAAAUUUAGUUACAGGGACUCGAAAAACUGACAGAUUUAAAUAAGAAACUAACAAAUUCUUAUGAAAGAUGAACUACAGACUCGAAGAACAGCUAACCUUACGCAAAAGAAAAUAAAGACUCCAAGACAAACUAACAGACUUUAAGGAAAAUAUAAUCUCAAGAAAUCACGAAUACAUCAGGGCUUCAAUUGCUCCUUAGACCCGCGAGGCAUCGUUCGGUCUUGCUGCAGACCUGCGUGCUAAAUUCUCUUGGAGGUGAUGGAGGUCUUCCAUUACUUGACGAACAAAGGUCAUGGCAGUGGCAAAUAACAUGGAUCUUGUCAUAUCCUCGCAGUGGCUACACUCUGUGGUGAUGUAGUCUGCUAUCAUCCGUACUCUCUCCUUUAUAACACCUUUUUCUUGCAAUAGCCGCCCAAUUUGCUCGGCCCUUGCCUCUAGAGUUGGCUCGGCUACCUGGUUCAGUUCUUGGAGUUGCAGCAAAUCCAUCUCCAACCGUGCUAUUGAUGCACAACAAUGUUCUCUCUCAGCUUUGAAGUCCCUGGCUUGCUUGGCCACUUUGUUCUCAUCCAUGAUGACCUUCCUUUUUAAUCCAGCAACCUCGUCGUCAUUCCUUUCCUUUAGUUGCUCAAUGAUGCGAGCUCGUUCCUCCGCAUUUUUAGCCAAUUUUUUUCGAGUCCUGGAUCCCACCUUUUGCUUUAUUCAAGUCAAACCUAUACUCGGUUACUUUUCGCCUUAAAUUGUCUAUGAGCUUUUCAUCAUUCGCGCUCUUGGGGGAUUUUCCGCGGCUGUUUUCAUUUUCUGGAUUUGGGCUCGCAACGCUUCAUUUUCUCUGGUUAAUCUUUUCUUUUUCCCAUCAUCUGCAGCAACUUGCAAACCAUUUUCAAAUUGCAGGUCUUUGACUUGUUUUUCCAAUUUUCCUAUCAUUGCCAUGUACUUAUUUUCCUUGGCUAGCCAGUUCCAUUGCUCUUGUGACGUUUCAGCAAAUUCUUGGAGGUGUGGCCUCUUAGCCGGUCUUCCGAACUCUAUUUCUUUCUUAUACCAAGAAAUGUACCCUGGUGCAACCUCGACUUUAGAUAUGUCGCAUACUCUAGUGCUCGCCAUCAAAUAUUGACAUUCGCUCCAAAUUUGACUGACAACAGCUUCGGGAAUUUGACCAUUGGGACUAAUCUCCAACCACGUGGCGACUAAUAUCCUCGUCCCAUGAAAUCAUUUGGCACCUCCCUAAUUGUCUUAGCACUCUGUAUGGAGCAUUGGGUUGGAUACUUCGGAGAACCGUCAGAAUGAAAUGAGGCCCGAUGGCUGGCAUAUACACGAUUUCAUCCACGGGGAGCCACUCGAACGUCCACUCUAUUUGGUUUGCAGUGAUAGACCGGAGACGCGACAACCACUUUGUAGCACCCUCAGGUAACCUAAACCCAUCAACCCUGCUAUAGAGUUCUUCUAUGCAGCUCUUUGUUGGCGACCAAUAAUUCAUGAACUGAGGCUGAUGGCAUUAAGGUUCGAUCAUCUAUAUUUGUAACAUUAUGUUACAUCCUUCGAAGAAAUCUCCCCUUGCUUUAAAGGCAGUAAGAGUUCGGAAGA